GAUGAACGCUGACAGAAUGCUUAACACAUGCAAGUCUUUGGCGAAGCUGUGCUCGCACAGCCUAGCCAAGGCGGACGGGUGAGUAACGCGUAAGGAACUUGCCCUGCAGUCAGGGAUAACAGACGGAAACGACUGAUAAGACCUGGUAAAGUCAGGCGGACUCAUGUCCAGCCUGAUGAAAAGAGAUGCUGCAGGAGAGCCUUGCGUCCUAUUAGCUUGUUGGUGGGGUAACGGCCCACCAAGGCGAUGAUAGGUAGCCGGCCUGAGAGGGUGGACGGCCACAAGGGGACUGAGAUACGGCCCUUACUACUACGGGAGGCAGCAGUGGGGAAUAUUGGACAAUGGGGGCAACCCUGAUCCAGCAAUUCUGUGUGCACGAUGAAGGUUUUCGGAUUGUAAAGUGCUUUCAGCAGGGAAGAAAAAAAUGACGGUACCUGCAGAAGAAGCGACGGCUAAAUACGUG
rnacentral:rRNA from 1 species